rnacentral:rRNA from 1 species
GAUGAACGCUGGCGGCGUGCCUAAUACAUGCAAGUCGAGCGAACAGACGAGGAGCUUGCUCCUCUGACGUUAGCGGCGGACGGGUGAGUAACACGUGGAUAACCUACCUAUAAGACUGGGAUAACUUCAGGAAACCGGAGCUAAUACCGGAUAAUAUAUUGAACCGCAUGGUUCAAUAGUGAAAGACGGUUUUGCUGUCACUUAUAGAUGGAUCCGCGCCGCAUUAGCUAGUUGGUAAGGUAACGGCUUACCAAGGCAACGAUGCGUAGCCGACCUGAGAGGGUGAUCGGCCACACUGGAACUGAGACACGGUCCAGACUCCUACGGGAGGCAGCAGUAGGGAAUCUUCCGCAAUGGGCGAAAGCCUGACGGAGCAACGCCGCGUGAGUGAUGAAGGUCUUCGGAUCGUAAAACUCUGUUAUUAGGGAAGAACAAAUGUGUAAGUAACUAUGCACGUCUUGACGGUACCUAAUCAGAAAGCCACGGCUAACUACGCG